UACGUAGGGUGCAAGCGUUAAUCGGAAUUACUGGGCGUAAAGCGUGCGCAGGCGGCUUUGCAAGACAGAUGUGAAAGCCCCGGGCUCAACCUGGGAAUUGCAUUUGAGACUGCUCUGCUCGGGUGCGGAAGAGGGAAGCGGAAUUUCCGGUGUAGCGGUGAAAUGCGUAGAUAUCGGAAGGAACACCAGUGGCGAAAGCGGCUUCCUGGUCCGACACCGACGUUCAGGCACGAAAGCGUGGGGAGCAAACAGG
rnacentral:rRNA from 1 species